UCAGCCUCCUGAGUAGCUGGGAUUACAGGUGUGCACCCGCUAAUUUUUGUAUUUUUAGUAGAGACGGGGUUUCACCAUGUUGCCCAGGCCAGUCUUGAACUCCUGAGCUCAAAUGAUCCACCUGCCUCAGCCUCCCAAAGUGCUGGGAUUACAGGUGUGAGCCACCGCACCUGGCCUCCUCUAGUCUUUAGUGGCUCUCCACUCCUGACUAAAUUAAGUUCAGGCUGUCAUCAGUGUGGGCUCAGCCUACCUUCCAGCUUUUCUGCUUCUGCUUUGCUUUAUUUAUUUACUUAUUUUGAGACAGGGUCUUGCUCAGAGACGGUCCCCCAGGCUGGAGUGCACAGGCCAAUCAUAGCUCACUGCAUCC
rnacentral:lncRNA from 10 species